UUGCUUUGACAGCACAUAUACUAAAAUUGGAGUGAUACAGAGAAGAUUUGCAUGGCCUAUCACAUGGAUGACACACAAAUUUAUGAAGCAUUCCAUAUUUUU
ensembl:snRNA U6 U6 spliceosomal RNA